rnacentral:rRNA from 1 species
UAAUACGUAGGGUGCGAGCGUUAAUCGGAAUUACUGGGCGUAAAGCGUGCGCAGGCGGUUUUGUAAGACAGCUGUGAAAUCCCCGGGCUUAACCUGGGAACUGCGGUUGUGACUGCAAGACUUGAGUGCGGCAGAGGGGGGUGGAAUUCCACGUGUAGCAGUGAAAUGCGUAGAGAUGUGGAGGAACACCGAUGGCGAAGGCAGCCCCCUGGGUCGACACUGACGCUCAGGCACGAAAGCGUGGGGAGCAAACAGG